rnacentral:rRNA from 1 species
GAUGAACGCUGGCGGCGUGCCUAAUACAUGCAAGUCGAGCGAACAGACGAGGAGCUUGCUCCUCUGACGUUAGCGGCGGACGGGUGAGUAACACGUGGAUAACCUACCUAUAAGACUGGGAUAACUUCGGGAAACCGGAGCUAAUACCGGAUAACAUGUUGAACCGCAUGGUUCAACAGUGAAAGACGGUCUUGCUGUCGCUUAUAGAUGGAUCCGCGCCGCAUUAGCUAGUUGGUAAGGUAACGGCUUACCAAGGCAACGAUGCGUAGCCGACCUGAGAGGGUGAUCGGCCACACUGGAACUGAGACGCGGUCCAGACUCCUACGGGAGGCAGCAGUAGGGAAUCUUCCGCAAUGGGCGAAAGCCUGACGGAGCAACGCCGCGUGAGUGAAGAAGGUCUUCGGAUCGUAAAACUCUGUUAUUAGGGAAGAACAAAUGUGUAAGUAACUAUGCACGUCUUGACGGUACCUAAUCAGAAAGCCACGGCUAACUACGUG